AAAUUGCAGAUAAUUGUAUUGUGCUUAAUGUUCAGAUUCAUAAAUUGACUGUGAAUAUUAACAGCUUUUACACGUACAUAGUUUAGCACUUUUUAAACAUGCAAAUAUCGCAGGAGAACAAGGAAACUUAUAUAUUCUACAGUUUUCUACUUGUGUCCGGAUUCAUCUUGUACUGGCUGAUCCGAGAGGCGUACCUCUACGGGGCUAUUCUAGUAGUGUUUUACGUGACCUAUCAGAAAAUUGUUCGUAAUGGCAUUCGCUUCGUCGAGGGCAAAGGUCGAGGUGUACUGAUAACAGGAUGUGACACAGGCUUCGGACACUAUCUUGCCUUGCGGUUAUGGCAAAAUGGUUUCACCGUCUUCGCUGGUUGUUAUCUUCCGGACGACGAAGGGGCCAAAUCACUUCAAAGGAAGGACAGUGAAACUUUACAGGUAUUAAAACUGGAUGUGACAAAGGAUAAUCAUGUGGAGAAGGCAUUGAAGCAUGUGCAGGAAAACCUACCCCAAAAUGGUCUGUGGGCCGUGGUGAACAACGCAGCCAUUAACUACCUGUGUGACAUCGAGUUCUGCUCCCUCGACCUCAUGAGGAGAGUGGAGGACGUCAACUAUUACGGCAUGGUCCGAAUAACCAAGGCCUUCAUUCCACUCUUAAGAAAAUCUAAAGGAAGAAUCAUCAACGUAACAAGUGUCAAAGGCCGCAUUGCAUUGCCGGCCGACGUUUGCUACACGACAACCAAAUGGGCAGGAGAAGCGUUUUCAGAUAUAUUACGUCGAGAGAUGAAACGGUUCGGAAUAAAGGUCGUUAUAGUUGAGCCAGGCAAUUUCGGAGGAAUCACCGGAAUGUUAAACGAUAAGAACAUCGAGCGGGUGGUGACGGCUCUGGAAGAGAGUUGGCAAAAUGCUUCGGACGAAAUCAAAGCAGCCUAUGGCAGGAAGUACAUAGAUGAUGAGAUUGAAGGACUGAAGAGUGCCAGUCGCACUAGCGCCAAGUUCAUCGAGCCGGUCAUUAACGCCAUGCAUGACGCCGUCGCUAACGAACGCCCUGAGUAUCGGUAUCUAGUAAACGGCGGAACAAAGCCUGCUGUGGACUGGUAUUGCGUGAGUAAAAGAUUUGAACUUUAGAACAAAGCCUGCUGUGGACUGGUAUUGCGUGAGUAAAAGAUUUGAACUUAAGAACAAAGCCUGUUGUGGACUGGUAUUGCCUGUGCGCCAGAAUGAACGAAAUUCUACCGGAAGGGUUCGUGGAUUUGUUUAUCGAGAAGACAUCACCACUCCCGCCUGUUAAGAAACGAGUCUGAUGCUAUCAUAAUGACUUCAAAGUAGACAUUGUAUGGCGCAAGUUUCACGCGUACAUAUUAGUUUUACAGCAUGUUUAUUUAUGGAAGUGUUUCACUUUUUUUAUUUUAUGAUCAUGCACACUGCUAUAAUCCAUAAGGUUUGACGACGUAUUUAAUUAGUAAGAAAUACGUUAUAUAUUUUUGUACUUCGAUUAUUUGUACUUAGUAACAAUUCAUGUACAAACACAUAUAGUGUUCAGGCAUAUGUUAAAAAAGCUUUUUUUUAUAAAUUCUUGUUUUUUGUCACAAAAGUGUUUUAUGAUAUUGUUUUUGUAAAGGGUAAUAAUCAAUAAAUGUAGAUUAUUCUA